GGACUUGCGCUCUUAGAUCCAUUAAAUAUUAGCAGCCCUUUUAAACAUCUAUCUUUCUGCAGUGUUUUAGAAAACCUAGUAUCACCCAGCAGGAAAGUGAGGUAUUUCUUUCCUGUGGGAAAUGCAAGAACAGUCAGGGGCUAUUGGAAGAAAGGAGGAAGAAGAUGGCCAGCACCACCACAGAUGAAAUCCUGUCCCCUAGAAGAAGGUUGCUAUUUUGGGAAAAGGAAAUAUGGUGUCCUGAGACUCCAGGAAGAGGAGGAGCUGCAAAGAAAGGGCAGAGAUGAUGGCAAGCUGGAUUUGUAACUGAAAACGUAGGAAAGGGGAAGAAGGGAAUGGCAAAACUCUCCAAAAUGAAUGGUGACCAAAUGAAGCACAUAUAAUUAAGCUGGAUGCUUUCUGGGCUGAAGAAAACAUUGGAUGUUCCCUCUGAUUGAGCAGUGUUAGUCAUUACCGAGAAAGGUCUGAAGACCACUGGUCAACAAGACAUUAAUGCUAAUUUUAUUUUGUGCACUUAAAAUACUUUAAAUAUGUAUAUAAUUGCAAAGAGUCAAACAAUGUGUAAGGCUGUUUGCCAGAUAUUUAUGCUUCAAAAAUACAGUCAAACUAUUGAAACGUCAAUAUCCUUGACCCCACUAAUUGGAAAAUGCUUCAGCUAUGAUUUUUGAGUCUUUGAUCAUUAUAUUAAUGUCAAAUGUGUCUUCAGUAAUCACACAACUACAUGGUAGAUGGGGGAAAUCAGACAUAUAAGGUUCAAUGAUUCCUGUGAAGAAAAGAGAAUAUUUUUCCUGAUGCAGAUGUGAUCAAAGAUUAAAAAAUACCACAGUGCAUGCAAAAUGCUUACGUUCUGUAUUUAUGGCAGAAUUAGUCCUGGCAAAUAGAAAAUAAUACCUUACUGGGAGCAGACCAACUACUGAGAUCGGAUUCAUUGGUAUGCUCUGGCUGCUCGGUGCUCCAUCAGAGAGUACAGCUGGUUUAUGUUGUCAGAGCAGUAGAAAACAGCCAGGAUUUACAAGAGAAAUGGGACCAACGUGCUUUAUUUAUGAUUAUUAUUUUUUAAGGUGAAAUAAAAAAAGGAAACAUUGUCAAGCAUCACAAAGCUGAUACCUGCUCUGUGACAUGGCAGACUGACUGCAGUUACUUAAACCCAAACUACCCUUGAGUGUAAUUGCUGUAGCAAGCAUCCACCCUCUGGCAAUGCACAGAACUCUCAGUCACCAUUUCUCUGCAAGCAACCAGAGAGAGGCAAGUGAAGUCUGAUAUACAGCCAGGAGAAGAGCAGUUUAAUCCUGGAUUUGAUAAAGUCACAGAAAACAAAGUGCUUGUUAGCUUCCAGAAAGGAUUAAGAGAAAUAAAUGCAACUGUGUAUGGAUUUUGCAUUCGACUGGAAGUCUGACAUCAAGUCUGAGAAGAUCUACUGAACAUUUUGACAUUUCAGUCAAGGAUAACAGAAAAUUUCUCCAAACCAGGGUGGAAAGCAAAGCCAAGCAGCAGCUAAGUGGAAAGGAGUCUGCCCUGUGGGAGCAGAGCGUGACCCUCAGGCAGCAAUGGUUGCCUAAUGGAGAGACACCAGGGAAGAUUCCUGUUCUGCACAGGUCAUGGCUCUUUCCUGAAUGAUAGUGCUAGCACAAUUCAUACUCAACAGCUAGUUAUCUGACUUCUAUGUGCUCUCAUUUCCCU